rnacentral:rRNA from 1 species
GACGAACGCUGGCGGCGUGCUUAACACAUGCAAGUCGAACGAGACCCCGCUUCGGUGGGGUGUUCUAGUGGCGAACGGGUGAGUAACACGUGGGCAACCUGCCCCCGGCUCUGGGAUAACUCCAAGAAAUUGGGGCUAAUACCGGAUAUGACCGCUGACCGCAUGGUCUGGUGGUGGAAAGAUUUAUCGGCUGGGGAUGGGCCCGCGGCCUAUCAGCUUGUUGGUGGGGUAGUGGCCUACCAAGGCGACGACGGGUAGCCGGCCUGAGAGGGUGACCGGCCACACUGGGACUGAGACACGGCCCAGACUCCUACGGGAGGCAGCAGUGGGGAAUAUUGCGCAAUGGGCGGAAGCCUGACGCAGCGACGCCGCGUGGGGGAUGACGGCCUUCGGGUUGUAAACCUCUUUCAGCAGGGACGAAGCCGCAAGGUGACGGUACCUGCAGAAGAAACACCGGCCAACUACGUGCCAGCAGCCACAGUAA